AUACAGAGGGUGCGAGCGUUAAUCGGAAUUACUGGGCGUAAAGCGCGCGUAGGCGGCUUAUUAAGUCAGAUGUGAAAUCCCCGGGCUCAACCUGGGAACUGCAUCUGAUACUGGUAAGCUAGAGUUUUGGAGAGGGAAGUAGAAUUUCAGGUGUAGCGGCGAAAUGCAUAGAGAUCUGAAGGAAUACCAGUGGCGAAGGCGACUUCCUGGCCAAAAACUGACGCUGAGGUGCGAAAGCGUGGGUAGCAAACGGGAUUAGAAACCCCAGUAGUCC
rnacentral:rRNA from 1 species